AUUGCAGCCCCAGCAUGUUCGCUGGUGCAGAGAUGCUAACAAAGUGAGAACGAACAUUUCCGGGCCAUGUCAGACCUCCUGUGAGAUUACCAGUAGUGUGCAGGACACACUAAUGCACAGAAUUGUUCCUCCAGGUGUGGGUGACAAGAGAAACACAAAUGCUAUGGAUCCUCAAGAUUUCCGGUACUACUGCAUAGAAGGUGCCGUGGCGGUCUUGGGCUCCGUGCUGUUUGGGAUGAUAUUGUGUUGUGUGAUCUGUCUGUGGAGGAAGAGACAACGGCGCCUCUCCGCAGCUUCGCGAGCCCAGCCCGACACCAGCAGCUGCUCCUCGGGCCUGGACAGCCUGAGCAGCCGCCCCAGCAGCCCGGAGAGCUGGACCCGACAGCAAGAGCCAUCACCUGUGCCUGGAAAGCCGGCCCGCCUGCCACAGAGCACCAGGGAAUGGGCCUCCGCCAGCCCGGACAGCCGCCCGGCCCGCCCGCCUCCACCCCGGCCCCCAUGGCUGUCCAACUCAGCCAGCCGGGUGUUGCGGGACCAGCCCAGUGACCUCGAGCCCCCAGAGGAAUUGAAGCCACCCGCCCGCGGCCCAAGCCCAUCGCGCCGGCCCUCCUGCAAGGGCCUGAGCCAGCCCCGCCAGGGUAUGGGUUUGGGCUACGAUGACAGGCUCCUGACGGACAGCUUCAGGGAGCGACCAUUCAUGUCCGAAUAAUGGCACAGCAAUAAAUACAGAUCAGUAGCACAAUUGUCCGGGUCGUAAUGGCAGCAGACCCAGGGAUUCACCAAUCCUGGGGCGAACUUCCUAUGAGGGCACACAGGGACCUGGAUGCCCACGGUGUCAGCAAGCAGGGAGCUGGGCAUAGGACCCACCAACAGGCUGGGGGAGCCCAGCUUCCCUGGUGGGACUGUCCUGCUCCAUUCUGAGCCACAGAGGCACCAAAGGGGCUCAUUAACAGCUCACCAUCCCCACCUCUGCUCCCUGUGCCAGCUUUGUCCUGGAGUGCACAGGACAGGGGUGCUGUGUAGGGCAAUACCAGCCCCAGCCCCUCCAUUGUGUGCAUGCCAAAUACACC
rnacentral:lncRNA from 1 species